rnacentral:rRNA from 1 species
UUCCGGUUGAUCCUGCCGGACCUGACUGCUAUCGGAUUGAUACUAAGCCAUGCGAGUCAUUGUAGCAAUACAAGGCAGACGGCUCAGUAACGCGUAGUCAACCUAACCUAUGGACGGGAAUAACCUCGGGAAACUGAGAAUAAUGCCCGAUAGAACACUAUACCUGGAAUGGUUUGUGUUCCAAAUGAUUUAUCGCCGUAGGAUGGGACUGCGGCCUAUCAGUUUGUUGGUGAGGUAAUGGCCCACCAAGACUAUUACAGGUACGGGCUCUGAGAGGAGUAGCCCGGAGAUGGGUACUGAGACACGGACCCAGGCCCUAUGGGGCGCAGCAGGCGAGAAAACUUUGCAAUGUGCGAAAGCACGACAAGGUUAAUCCGAGUGAUUUGUGCUAAACGAAUCUUUUGUUAGUCCUAGAACCACUAACGAAUAAGGGGUGGGCAAGUUCUGGUGUCAGCCGCAGCGGUAAAACCAGCACCUCAAGUGGUCAGGAUGAUUAUUGGGCCUAAAGCAUCCGUAGCCGGCUCUGUAAGUUUUCGGUUAAAUCUGUACGCUUAACGUACAGGCUGCCGGAAAUACU